rnacentral:lncRNA from 1 species
UCCGCUUCUUCCUCCCCGACGGUGUUGUGGAACCAACGGUGGGUUCAGCUACCCUCGACCGUGGCCUAACACGCACGGACUGAAGAUAAGUUAUUCUAUCUCUUCCUUAAAGUGAGAUCGUUUGCUUCUCUGAUCCAGUUCUAGUAAUUUGUACAAGGCCUUAGCUUGUUGUCAGGGAGGAACUUUCAUCUCAUUGCUGAAACUUGGGUAAACUGUGGGCAUACAAAAUACAUCUUUGUUUUUGUUGCCUUACAAACAUGGCUGUGAACAAACCGAAUGUUGGCAAACAAUUGUAUAUCCAUUUUCACUUAUUAUGAUAUUUCUGAAAGUGAAAGGGACUAAGGAUAGCACAGAGAGCAGAGAGCACACGGGUUAUGUUGGAAAAAUUGGUCGAAGUUACAAUGCAUUAGCUAGCAUAAAUAUAGCACAACUAGCAUGCCUAGAUGCACACAACGUUGAUGGUAAGGUAUGCUUGACAACUACCUAAUAGGAUCAGAUUAUUCAUUUUGUAAAUGUAAAAAAGAUAGUAUUGUCUUCACAACGUCCACCACUGAAUAUCUCUGUAUUUCUAGACCUUGAUUUGAUAUUAAAAAAACAAUCCAGUUUAUCUUCUCGCUUAUGUCCUGGAAGGUUUCAGGAUCUGUAUCUAUAUUCGUGAUUGCUACUGCAUGUGUUCUGACUCGGCUUGUACCUUCAUUAAAAUGAAGUAAUACUUAAGCUAUGUAUGAGUCUGAUCCGUGCAAGACUUGUUCCUACUGCUGCCACCUUGUAUAAAUAUAUACUGGUUCGUGCAAGACUUGCUCCUACUUCAAAUUUUUAGUCUGAACGUACCUAUAUAUACGUGCAUCAGACUAAAUUUGUAGUCUGAUUCGUGAAGUAGGAGCAACGGUUGUUCCUACUGCUGCCACCAUGUAUAAAUAUAUACUGGUUAAUUUCAUUUAACUAUUUUUUUCUGUCACAAAUAAUAGUACUAUGCUGGUCAAGUGGGGAACGUAUAGAAUCGUCUUGCACAGAAGUAACACGGAUAAUAUAAUCAAUGGGUUUUUGAUAGAAAAGCAUUUCUGUAUAUCCUGAAUGAAUAUAAACGAUGCAUGAUUAUUUCAAGUUGCACUUUCCUAUCUAUUAUCUCAUUGUUUAUCAAGUAUUUUCAUGUUUCAUAGUCCACUACAUUAUAAUGGGUUUAUAUGGCCUCAGCUACUGCUGCUAUAGUACUUGGAGUUCUGUGAUGUGUGUUUCGUCACUUUGUCAUUUGACACACCUUUCUUUGGCUUAAUUUUAAGCAACCUCAUGUUUACUCUUGUUUUAUAGUAGAUACAAUGUUAUUCUCAUUUGUAGGCACUAUAAGAUUUAAGAAUUCUGGACAUGUAAUUCAUUUUUAUAUUUGUUGCAAUUUUCUUAUUUCUACUAUCUAUUCAUAUGUGCAAAUAUCUAAUAUUCUUGUUAAUAUGCUAGGUAAGAUUGGAUACUGUGCUACUUGGUGCUGCCCAUCACAAUCAGCUACGGCAUGAUCGUUGCCAUCAAGAACGUCGAUGGCAAGAGCUUGAAUAACAGCCUCGAUAGUUUAUAUGUUCUGUUGAUGUAAAAUGGAUUGUACUGGUUCAUAACUCUGCUGUGUGAUAUAUUUUGUCAAUCUAUGUUGUAUGUCAUCACUUUGUAGAGGAUUUUUUAAACUGCUAUGUUGUAGAUACAUACAGAUGGCUGUGUUAAACUUUGUAAUGUUUCACACCUUGCAAAUAUUUUUUGUUGGGAAAAUUUGGCAUUAGGAUUUGUGUAACGCCCUUUAAAUUG